ACAACAGUUGGAAACGACUGCUAAUACCGCAUAAGCCCACGAUCCGGCAUCGGAUUGAGGGAAAAGGAUUUAUUCGCUUCAGGAUGGACUCGCGUCCAAUUAGCUAGUUGGUGAGGUAACGGCCCACCAAGGCGACGACUGGUAGCCGGACUGAGAGGUUGAACGGCCACAUUGGGACUGAGACACGGCCCAGACUCCUACGGGAGGCAGCAGUGGGGGAUAUUGCACAAUGGGGGAAACCCUGAUGCAGCGACGCCGCGUGGAGGAAGAAGGUUUUCGGAUUGUAAACUCCUGUCGUUAGGGACGAUAAUGACGGUACCUAACAAGAAAGCACCGGCUAACUACGUGCCAGCAGCCGCGGUAAAACGUAGGGUGCAAGCGUUGUCCGGAAUUACUGGGUGUAAAGGGAGCGCAGGCGGACCGGCAAGUUGGAAGUGAAAACUAUGGGCUCAACCCAUAAAUUGCUUUCAAAACUGCUGGCCUUGAGUAGUGCAGAGGUAGGUGGAAUUCCCGGUGUAGCGGUGGAAUGCGUAGAUAUCGGGAGGAACACCAGUGGCGAAGGCGACCUACUGGGCACCAACUGACGCUGAGGCUCGAAAGCAUGGGUAGCAAACAGGAUUAGAUAUCCUGGUAGUCCAUGCCGUAAAC
rnacentral:rRNA from 1 species